GGAAGGGUCGCAUAGUGGUCUAGUGCGCUCGCUUGGAAAGCGGGUGUGCCUUAACCGGCACCGAGAGUUCAAAUCUCUCCCCUUCCG
rnacentral:tRNA from 1 species